CUCCCUUGGCGAAUAGAUACCCGGGAAGACGGAGCCUCCUCGGAAUCCCCCGCUCCGGCCUUCCGGAGCCACCACCUGCCGCCAGGAGGCCGGCGUGAGAGGGAACACAUCCUAGGAAGCUAACAACUCGUCCUGUGGCGCCGUUGAAGCAGCUCUCCCAAAGUCCUUUGGGAUGUGUGAAACCCUCCAGAAAUGUCGGCCUCACGGGGAUAGUGAAAAUCAGGAUUUUGAUGGGCUGAUUCUGUUUGAGUCCCUGAUUCCUGCCGUCUUCCAGGCCCGGUGGACAGGCAAGACCCUCCCCUGACAUUGCAUCUACUGAGAGACCGGACCAACCGUCGUCUGUUUGGAACAUCAUGUGUAAGUUUGGAGGAAAUGAAAGCACGGGCUGCUUGGAAAUCAAUCCCAAAGACAGAUGACGAUGAACGAGACGGAAGCUGAACUUCUGCCCCUCCUGCGCGAUGGUGACUGCGGCUGGACAAUGCCCCUGGCCGCCCUCCCCGCGCCCACGCGCCGCCCACUCGCGGGAAAGGGAGCCACCUAGUGAGGGGUUGCUCUCAUCUCUGGUUCUUCGACCCUGAGAGCCCAGAGAUGGAGAUUAUUCCUGCAUAUUACCCCACACGCCCUACGUUUCUCUCCUGAAAUGUAUUGGCUAGAUUUCAAAAAAAAAAAUGAUUUUAGCCAGAAUAAAACUUUUGUGAUGUAUAAUAAUCACCCCUUUAGUAAUCAUCAUAAUGAUACCUUCUUGGUGGGCCCUAUCUCCAGUAAUGAGAGUACAUGAGCAUGUAUCGUGACACUCCUGAUAAGCAACCUAGAAAAAUAUUACUCUUCUGAUUUUGGAAAUAAGGAGGCUAGGAUAAAAAAAAAGAUGAAUCCUUGUCCUAGCUGGUUUUGCCCAGUGGAUAGAGAGUCCACCUGGUUCGAUUCUGGUCAAGGGCAUAUGUCCGGGUGGCGGGCUCAGUCCCCAGUAGGGGGUGUGCAGGAAGCAGCCAAUCAGUGAUUCUCAUCACUGAUGUUUCUCUCUCCCUUUCUCUCUGAAAUCAAUUAU